UUUAAAUACUCUCCACAAUGCCCAGCAGCUGCCUCCUGCCCUCACUUUACUCCAGGGCUGAGAAACCUCACUCCUAGGAACAGGUAUGUAACUGCCAUCGGAUGUCACCCAAAGAAAUCUCACAGGAACAAAAUCUUCAGGACAUCAUAAGCUAUGAACCAUGAAAAGACCUAGCAGAAGGGAGAAGAGGGAUUAAGGAAGAAGCUGGCAUUGUCCAGCUGUGGGACAAACUCUCUGUGUCUUGCACCUCAGCGAUUGUGCAGCUAGAUAGUUAAUGUUCAUUCACAUUCACUCUGCUCAAAAAAGUGCGUGCUUUUGGGGAUGAGAACAUUGACUGCUGGAAAAAUGCAUGCUUCGGAGGAACCCUUCAGCUCCUGGAGCUGGACCUCACAGGCCCAGAGACUCCCAACACCACCACAGAGGCAUUUUGGAGUUAAGAGGAUACUGAAACAAACAAAAAUGUG
rnacentral:lncRNA from 1 species